rnacentral:rRNA from 1 species
GAUGAACGCUAGCGGCAGGCUUAAUACAUGCAAGUCGAGCGGUAAGGCCCUUCGGGGUACACGAGCGGCGAACGGGUGAGUAACACGUGGGUGACCUGCCCUUAGCUCUGGGAUAAGCCUGGGAAACUGGGUCUAAUACCGGAUAUGACCUCAUGACGCAUGUUGUGGGGUGGAAAGCCUUGUGCGGCUAGGGAUGGGCCCGCGGCCUAUCAGCUUGUUGGUGGGGUGANGGCCUACCAAGGCGACGACGGGUAGCCGGCCUGAGAGGGCGACCGGCCACACUGGGACUGAGACACGGCCCAGACUCCUACGGGAGGCAGCAGUGGGGAAUCUUGCGCAAUGGGCCGAAAGCCUGACGCAGCGACGCCGCGUGAGGGAUGACGGCCUGG